GCAAAUUGUGUGGAGGGUCUUAUUGCCAGUUCUGGAGUACUUUUAGGAAGCUGACACCUUCAAAACUGAUACUUAUCUUCUAACCCAUUUCUUUCUCUAGGGCCCUCCGGGUAGGCGACCAGCCAGACGUGGCCGAAGGAGGAAAAGCAGUGGUGUCCGGCCCAGUGGCCGCCCUGAGACUACACGGAUUCGGGGUCCUAGCAUUGAUCCAGGAUCCAGCCCAUUGGUUGACUACACUGUUGCUCGACGGCCUCGGCCUGGCCGGCCUGUAAAAAACAGGAGGAGGAAAUUGGCCACAUAACACUGCCUGAACUGAGGGGUCUCCACCACUGUCCAUUCUUAAGGAAAGAGAGCUUGAGACAUCUGUCUCUCUCUCCCCAUCCGUGACCCCCUUCCAUCUCUGGGGCCCAGCCUAUGGGUGUAGCCCAAAGGAGGGGAGGAAAUACCAGCAAAA
rnacentral:lncRNA from 1 species